AUGCAUUCAGGAUUAAAGAUAAUGUUUAUAGGUGUUUAUAGUAAAGGAUUUAAGGUUUGAAGUGUUAAUAUCAGUUGGAUUACAUAAAGUGUUUAGUGUAAUGAAGAUUAAAGGGGCACUAUAGGCACGAAGGACAUCGGCGCAGGGAUCAUGUAUGUAAAAAAGGGGUUUUGACCCUUUAUUAACCAGGGAGGGGGAAUACAGAUUGUUUUUCUGGCAUUAUAGUAUCCCUUUAACAGGUAGAGAGGGGUUACAGUUGUAAUAGGAAGACUUAUAAUUGGGAUCUGGUCUGCCUAGUGCAAUACACAGGGAUGAGGGAGUCCGACUCAGAGUGAAUUGCUCAGUAGUGAACCAGGACAGGGAUACACCCAAACCUGUCCAAAGGAGUAAAAGACAGUAAUACCUUCAAGGUAGUGUGUUUAGGAGCUGGUUCACUUUAAUAUGGCUUGGUUGGUAGUAUAAUAGUUAUGUCAAUUUCUAAGACAAUCAAUAGUAGCGGAGAAAGAUAUGUGUGGUGUGUACACCUUUAAAUCUGCUAGAGGCAGAUUCUAUCUGUUACACACCAAAUAAUCUGCUUAGAUAUAAAGCAACUACUUAUUACAGAAUAACAACAACAUGAAUAGUUAUCUGUACGGUAUCGUAAUAUACACAAUGUUAUGUGCUGGAUAUUGCUUUAAAUCAUCGGGUGGCACAAUAAAUAGUGCAAAACGGCAAUAUUCAACUUAUACCAAAGAGAUAUAUAAAAAACUUGAUCUCUAUGUGUAAAAUCAAAUAAAAAUAAAUCAGUUUAAAAAUUCCAAAAGAAC